rnacentral:lncRNA from 1 species
GUCUUGGCUGACUGUGACAGUGUGCCUGACAGGGAGAGGAGGAAAGACAUCAUGCUGGCAAUUGCCCCAGGCCAGUGCAGACCACACUUUUGCUGUGGGAGACAGAGGAAUGUCUGAGAGUUGCUGUUAGACUGCAUGUCCUCCAGAGGGUGAGAGCACACAGGCAGAGCCCCCUUUGUCUCUCUGUUUGCAUCUCCAGGCUCAGAAGGGGAUUGGAAAUGGAUCCAUGGAACCUCAAGGAGGUGCACAGAGCCUGGUGUUUGUUUUCAUGGUGCCUCUGAUACUGUGGGCCAAUUUGACUUGAUUCAGUGAGGGGAUGGUAUUGUGCCAUCACAUGUCUAAUUCAAUUCCUCUAAGUCAGGUGGCCAAAAUAUGAGUGAGUUUGACUGGCUCUCUGCGAUGUAUGUGUCCUUUGCUGUUUGGAGGCAGAAACCUGGCUUGAAUCCUGGAUGUGCAGUUUUCAAAUCAACCUGGCAGGGAGUUUGAAUUCUAGAAAGCUGGGCUUUCAGAGUGUUACUGUAGCAUGUCCAUGAGUAGGUCCACACUUUCAGAGUGUGAGCUGUGCUUAUGACUCAGUUCUUUCUCUCCAGAGAUUUCCACAGCCUCUGUCUUCCCUCUGAACCUGAUGCUUCAGCCUUUGUUGGACACCCAUAUGAAGGAACCUGUCUAAAUCCAUGCUCAGAAGGGGAUUAAAGUUGGACACAUGGAGAUGCCCAGAGCCUGCUGUUGUAUUCAUGGUGCCUCUGACCCUGUGGCCCAAUUUGCCUCAACUCAGUGAGAGAUCUCCACAACCUUCAUCUUCCCUCUGCAUCUGAGCUGCUUCAGCCUCUGCAGGACACCCAUUCAAAGGAAGCUCUCUAAAUCCAUGUACGGUGAAUCACGAAUCACGGCUGGGUUGUUUAGAAUUACAAGCAGAGUCAUGGGGAGGAAGGUUGCUGAUUCUAAG